rnacentral:rRNA from 1 species
UCUGGUUUUCGUUAUUAUUAUUUUAUUUAAUAGAAGUAUUUUUAUUGUGUUAUUUUUUAGUAUUAUUUAGAAGUUAAUUUGGUUAAUUAUAGUUGAUUUUUACAGUGAUGGAAUUAUGAAAGAAUUGAAAUAUUUAUUUUGAGGUAGAAAAAUAUUUGUACCUUUUGUAUCAGGGUUUAUUAAAAAUUAAUAAUUUAUUUUGUGUUCUCGAAUUAAGAAGAGCUAUUUAUUUAUGAUUUAUAUUGUGGCAAAAAUAUAUUGAAUAAUUAAAUAGUAGUGAUAUGUUAUUCGUUUCUUAAGAUAUCUAGUUUCUUAAGAUUAAAAUUUAAUUUUGGUAUUUAUUUAUAAUAUUUAUGCGUAUGUAUGUUGAAUAUUAUAUAUUUAUGCUUAAUAAUUUAGGGAUAAUUAUAUAUUUAUGCUUAAUAAUUUAGGGAUAAGCUUGGAUUUGUGAUUUAAAUAUAAUUAAUUGAAUAUGUUAUAUGAGCUUUUAAUUAGCUAUUAUUUAUGAGUUUGUUAAUAAUUAUUUGAUAUAUAAUUAUUUAUAAUUAUUUAUAUUAAAGUUAUAUUAAGAUAAUUAAAGUAAUUUGUUUUUUAUGUAAUAAUGAUGGAAUUAGUAAAUGUGUUGUUUAUAUUAUGUUGUUGAUUAUUUAUUUUAAGGAAUUAGGCAAAAAAUUAUUGUUCGCCUGUUUAUCAAAAACAUGUCUUCUUGAAUUGAUAUGAAGUCGUGCCUGCCCACUGAUUAAUUAAAUGGCCGCGGUAUAUUGACCGUGCAAAGGUAGCAUAAUCAUUAGUCUUUUAAUUGGAGGCUGGAAUGAAUGGUUUGACGAAACAAUAACUGUCUCAGGAUAAUUAAUUGAAUUUUAUUUUUAAGUUAAAAAGCUUAAAUGAUGACAGGGGACGAGAAGACCCUAUAGAUCUUAAUAUUACUAUAUUAAAAUAUAUGUUUGGGAGUAAUUUUAUGUAUUUUAUUAUGUAAUGUUUUGUUGGGGUGACAAGGGAAUAAUUUAACUUCUUUAUAAUUUACUGUGAUGGUUGGUUAAUUGAUCCUAUUAUUAUGGAAUGAAGAUAAAGAUACCUUAGGGAUAACAGCGUAAUAUUAUUGGAGAGUUCAUAUUGAUAAUAAGGAUUGCGACCUCGAUGUUGGAUUAAGAAAAUUAUUAGGUGCAGGAGCUUAAUAUAUUGGUCUGUUCGACCAUUAAAUUCUUACAUGAUCUGAGUUCAAACCGGUGUAAGCCAGGUUGGUUUCUAUCUCUGUUUAGUAAGUGUAUUUUAGUACGAAAGGAUUAAGUACAUUAAAUAAUUUAUUUUUUUGUAUUAAGAUUAA